rnacentral:rRNA from 1 species
AUGUUAAACAUGAAAUUGUUGCUAUUGCACCUACGCAUGAUAGUCCUUAUCUUUUUGAAUUCUCCCUACUACCCUAUAUCAGAGAAGUUUGUGCUUAUGAAGGAUUAUAUUGAUGGGUUGCCUUUUACUACUACACAUGAUGAUUUUGAUGAAUAUAAUAUGCAUGUGCUUGCUGCUCCUACUUUCAAUUAUUAUGAGAGAGGAACUAUAUCUCCACCUCUCUAUGUUUCCAAUACGAUAGAAUUGAAAGAAACUGCUUAUACUAUGCAUUGGCCUUUACUAUGUGUGCAUGAAUUGUUGACAUGCCGAUGCAUAGGAAGAGAGUUAGACUUAUUCAUUGCUUGA